rnacentral:tRNA from 1 species
GCCCCGUUGGUCUAGUGGUCAGGACAUCCGGUUCUCAGCCGGGGAUCGCCGGUUCGAAUCCGGUACGGGGUA